UACGUAGGGGGCGAGCGUUGUCCGGAUUUAUUGGGCGUAAAGAGCUCGUAGGCGGUUUGUCGCGUCUGCCGUGAAAGUCCGGGCUCACUCCGGAUCUGCGGUGGGUACGGGCAGACUAGAGUGAUGUAGGGGAGACUGGAAUUCCUGGUGUAGCGGUGAAAUGCGCAGAUAGUCAGGAGGAACACCGAUGGCGAAGGCAGGUCUCUGGGCAUUAACUGACGCUGAGGAGCGAAAGCAUGGGGAGCGAACAGG
rnacentral:rRNA from 1 species